AACGAACGCUGGCGGCAGGCCUAACACAUGCAAGUCGAGCGAAGCCUUCGGGCUUAGCGGCGGACGGGUGAGUAACGCGUGGGUACGUGCCCUUUGGUACGGAAUAGCCCCGGGAAACUGGGAGUAAUACCGUAUGUGGUCGAGAGACGAAAGAUUUAUCGCCAAAGGAUCGGCCCGCGUUGGAUUAGGUAGUUGGUGGGGUAAUGGCCUACCAAGCCGACGAUCCAUAGCUGGUUUGAGAGGAUGAUCAGCCACACUGGGACUGAGACACGGCCCAGACUCCUACGGGAGGCAGCAGUGGGGAAUCUUAGACAAUGGGGGAAACCCUGAUCUAGCCAUGCCGCGUGAUCGAUGAAGGUCUUAGGGUUGUAAAGAUCUUUCAGUGGGGAAGAUAAUGACUGUACCCACAGAAGAAGCCCCGGCUAACUCCGUGCCAGCCGCCGCGGUAACAC
rnacentral:rRNA from 1 species